AGGUGAAAUUUAUAGUUCGAUAGUAAAGUUGAAUCUUGUUGAUUUUCUUGGAGGCCAUUGAAGUUUAGGUUUAAACCAGGAUUAGAUACCCUGUUAUUCUAAACUUAAAGUUUAUUGCUUGAUUAGUAUCAGUUAUGAGCUUGAAAUUUAAAGGAUUUGGCGGUAUCCAAGUCUAGUUAGAGGAACCUGCCAUUUAAACGAUAUGCCACGAAUGAUCUUACUUUGUCUUGUCAAACAGUAUGUAUACCGCCAUUAUUAGGUGGUGUAUUAAUAUAGCCAUUAAAAUUAAUUUAUAUUAAGUAUAUUAGGUCAAGGUGCAGCCCAUGACAAAGAUAUCGGUGGGUUACAGUGUGUUAUAUAUAAACGGAUGGACUCUUGAAACGGGGUCUUGAAGGUGGAUUUAAUUGUAUUUCUUUUUUAAUAUGUUAGAUUGAUCAUAGCUCUAGGAUAUGUACACAUCGCCCGUCGCUCUCAUUCUUUAAAGU
rnacentral:rRNA from 1 species